rnacentral:rRNA from 1 species
CCUACGGGAGGCAGCAGUGAGGAAUAUUGGUCAAUGGGCGGACGCCUGAACCAGCCAAGUAGCGUGCGGGAUGAAGGCCCUACGGGUCGUAAACCGCUUUUGCACAGGGAUAACACCCUCCACUUGUGGAUGUCUGCAGGUACCGUGCGAAUAAGGGCCGGCUAAUUCCGUGCCAGCAGCCGCGGUAAUACGGAAGGCCCGAGCGUUAUCCGGAUUCAUUGGGCUUAAAGGGAGCGUAGGUGGAUUGUUAAGUCAGUUGUGAAAGUUUGCGGCUCAACCGUAAAAUUGCAGUUGAAACUGGCAGUCUUGAGUACAGUAGAGGUGGGCGGAAUUCGUGGUGGAGCGGUGAAAUGCUUAGAUAGCACGAAGAACUCCGAUUGCGAAGGCAGCUUACUGGACUGCAACUGACAUUGAGGCUCGAAAGUGUGGGUAUCAAACAGGAUUAGAUACCCUUGUAGUC